UCAGACAGAGUUUCACUCAGUCGCCCAGGCUGGAGGCAAGACCCGUUCUCAAAAAUAAACACAGGAAAAAAUAUAUAUAUCAGCAAGAUACACAAUAACAAAACUAUAACUAUUCCAGCCAUUUAUCAAGCAAAGAAUUAGGGAAAAAACUUUUUCAGCUUUGUGAUGUCUCAAAAAAAUCUAAUUCAAAGGAUUAGUGGCAAAACAAGCUGAUAUAUAGGAUUUUUGGUUAAACCAUUUUCCCCUUACAAAACAGAGAAGAAUGUGUGUUCCCUGUUUGUUUGCCAAAGUCAGCAGUAUCUGAAGAACUGCUGGAUGGCAAGAUUAUGCAUAUUCAUAACCAUACACCUGACAUAAUUUAAUAUGCGGAAAGAUCUAAAAGAUUUUAUCUGAUUUGAGUAAGUCCAGUUCUUUUUAUAUUUCCAUCCUGGAAAGCAUAAGCCACAUUGGCCAGGGUAAAAUAUAAUCAGAUUGGUUAAAGAGGAUGUGAGGCCUGAUCCUAAUAGAAAUGUUUGAAAGGGUUCAGGCAUGGUGGCUCAUGCCAGUAAUCCCAGCACUUUGGGAGGCCAAGGUGGGAGGAUCACUUGUGGUCAGGAGUUUGAGACCAGCCUGGCCAACAUGGCGAAACCCUGUCUCUAAAAAUACAAAAAUUAGUCGAGUGUGGUGGCACAUGCCUGUGAUACCAGUACUCGGGAGGCUGAAGCAGGAGAAUCGCUUGAACCUAAAAGGCAGAGGUUGCUGUAAGCCGAGAUUGCACCACUGCACUUCAGCCUGGGCAACAGAACAAGACUUUAUCUCAAAAAUAAAAAUAAAAAAUAAAAAAAGAAAUUUUUGAAAGGAAUAUGACAGCAAAAUAAAUAAAUAAAUAGUUAUCAGUUUAUCUCAAUCUUGGAGCUAAGUAGAAGAGAAAAUCUUAACACAAUAGACUAUUCUAAGCAACAUAACAUUUAUACUGAGUGCUAUAGUGGCACUGCCCCAAAAAGCAUUAAUUCUGCUUCAGUUUAUCAAAAAUGGCUUAACAAGAGAAAACAGUGAUGGACCAUGAAGAACUAGAGUUCCAUUAGGAAGGAAGCAACAAGCUAUGUCAGUAUUAUGUGUAUUUCUACUAAACAUUUAUCAUCCCCUGACUUACAUCCCAUAGGGAUGGGCACAGACAGUGCUCAAGUAUUGAAUGUUCUGCUAUUUUCUUAUGGCAUCACUUAAUUCACACUUACAGAAUAAUCUCAAAAAUAACAAGUUUGGCCAAUGAAUAGCAAUAGACCAAAGCUUUUAGCUGGAUUUCUAAAAAAUUCAGGAAAACUGAUCAGAAUUUUGAUUUUCCUGUCUGAGGGCAUCUUAUACUGAAGUUACCAAUAAAUAAGUAUCAAAGCUAUACUAUCAAUAUCCCCAAAUGAAUAACCUCCUGAAUGAACAAAAACAGCACAUCUUUGUAUUUUCUACUUAAUUUGCAAAAGGUUAUAUUUGAGAUAGUCUAAGGACAAAAUAAUAAGGCCUAAGAAUACUAAGAGAGCAUUUAAAUCCUAAAUACCUAAAAUAGUAUACUAAUAUUAAAGUCAUUGCCAAUUCAUUAGCAUGUUUGAUAAAUAGCAGAAAGCUGGACUUCAGGUCCUCUGGGUGACCCAGCUAUUCAAAGCCAUUCAUAUUCUGGUCCUAAUCCAACCUUUCCAGAUUCAUUUAUUUCUUCUCUCCUUGCACCCUCUGUUCCUGCUACAGUGGACUACUACUCAAACACACCUUUCACGACUCAAUACCUUGUUACGAGAUGUUCUCAGGCUCAGAUGUCCUUCCCGAUUUAAAACUGACUGAUCCUUUUAAAACAGGGACAUGUAACCUCCUCAGUGAAAUAACCCUAAGCAUAAUCAUUCGGUUAUCCAGGUUCCCAGAACAUGCUGCUUGUUCUUCUACUUAAGCAUGCAUUUGGCCUCAUGAGAGAAUGAGGACAUACACAUCUGUUUCCCCUAUCAGACCGUAAAAUUUUGGAUGGCCUCAGUCUGUUACCUCUCACAGACUAAUACCGAUCCAAAUACCCAGAAAGAAUAUAUGAAACAAAAGUGACUUAGAAGUCUCGUUCUCAGUGAACAUCUCGGAUUCCAAGUCAGAAAUCAAAGAAUGCAGUUCCAACUUCUCAUGCCUCGUCUUUUCUGAAAAGUGAUCCCAUUUUCUGUCAUCUCUGCAUACUUCCUAAUGAACUCGUCUAUUCCCAACGUUUUCCUAAUUUGCACACUCUGUAUUCCAUAAAACGAUCAACUAGCUUGAAAGCUUCGGCCAUUAAUGAAAGUAAUUUAUCUUUUCCUCUUCCAUCUGCUCCUCCAAUAACCAGUCUCCAAAGAAAAAGAUCAAUAUUAUACUAAAAGUGACUAAGGGAGGGAAAACAACUACCAGAUUUUAUCCCCAAAUCGUUUUGUGCAAGAAAAAUAAGAAAGUAACUGACGCUUGAAGACACACAAGGGUAGGAGUAACGGAAUCUAGGUUUAACCAAAUUCGAUUCAGUCUGCCGGAAAAGCGGCUGCCGUAUUUCAGUGCUUUUCUGACCCUCUUCUGCACGAACUAUGCGGACGACAGUGUCGAGAGGCGACCCUGUCCCCACGCCCGCUUCCCCGAUCCCUUGCCCACGAAUCCUACCGAGGAAGCCGCUUAAACGAGGCCCUCUGGUCAAAGAGAAGCUACUCUGAAGUAGCAGGUCCCAAACACUGAACAAAGCGCCUGUCGGGGGUGUAAGAGGAGGACGCCAUUACGCGGGGCAGUGGCCUGCGCCGCUGGCGCGGCGGAGACGACCCUUGGCCCCGAAACGCGGGCUCGGCUCCUACGAAAGAAACCAUAGGAAAAGGCAGAAUCCUAGGAAGAAAGGCUUUUAUUAGGCUAGCAACGAAGAAAACACGUAAGCCCGGAAAGACCGCUUACCUUCGUGAGUCUUGGCGAUCUUCGCCAUUUUGUCCACUCGAACACACAGACGGAACUGGCGCUCCCAAGAACUUCCGCUCGUCGCCGCCGUCACGGAGAAAAAUAGCUGAGGUCUGCACUCUGCGCGUGCGCCAAACGGGAGCGCGCUCCGUCGGGUGACACGUGACAGAGCUGCCACCUAGAGGGAACCGCGAGGUGCAUUGUGGGUGGGGGAGGAGACACGGUUGGGCCCUGAAGCCGCCUGCGUGGUGAUCCAGGAAAUACCCGAGCUGAGCCGUAAGGUCCUUAAGUGAGUAACUUUGCCCUGGAGGAAAGUCGAUUCUACGAGGGGAGUUAAGAACAGACACUGAGGGCCGGGCGCGGUGGCUCAAGCCUGUAAUCCCAGCACUUUGGGAGGCCGAGGCGGGUGGAUCACGAGGUCAGGAGAUCGAGACCAUCCUGGCUAACACAGUGAAACCCCGUCUCUACUAAAAAAUACAAAAAAUUAGCCGGGCGUGUUGGCGGGCGCCUGUGGUCCCAGCUACUCGGGAGGCUGAGGCAGGAGAAUGGCGUGAACCCAGGAGGUGGAGGUUGUGGUGAGCCGAGAUCGCGCCACUGCACUCCAGCCUGGGGGACAGAGAAAGACUCCGUCUCAAAAAAAAAAAAAAAAAAAAAAAAGAACAGACACUGAGUCCCAGCAACUCUGGAGGCUGAGGCGGGAGCAUCGCUUGAGCCCAGGAGUUCGAGGCAGCCGUGAGCCAUAAUCGUGUCGCGCCACUGUACUUAAGCCUCCAGACCGGGCGACAGAGCAAGACCCCGAGACCCCUUCCAUAAAAAAAAAAAAAAAAAAAAAAAAAAAUGAACACUGUACGAAACACUGCGGUUUCAGAGCUGGAAGAGACCUCAGACAUUCAAUCCCUUUUCCCAAAAUUCACCGGAAGAGCUCGAGGAAAACUUUCCCUUGCAGCUGUCUCAGUCUUUACAGUGCUUAGUUACGAAGACAGUCUUAAGAGUCUCAUCUUUCGCCCUGUAAUUCAAGGUCAUUUUUCAUUCUUUCUGUUUAAUAAUUGCAAAUACUUCGGGUAGGAAUUUCGUUGAGCCUCACAAAUCGUUACUGAGUUGCACAAUGAGAAUCUUGCCACCCUUUGAAAGCCUUUUACUUUAUGGGUUAUUAGGAAACCACUCAUCGUCAUUAUUAACAUUCAUUAGAUGUUUCUCUUAAAUCCUACACGGUAUUCUAAAUCAGGAAUUUUAAUAGAUCAGAAUACGGCAGUCUGUUUUCCUAGGCAUCAAUUAUAAUAUAACCUUGUACUGUCACACUGGUCUUGGACUUCGACGAUGAAAAAGAAAGAAAGGCUCAGAAAGAUGGGUCCUGGAAGCAGCCCAGGAAAACAGAUUGGAGUGCAAUGGUGCGAUCUCAGCUCACCGCAACCUCCACCUCCUGGGUUCAAGCGGUUCUCCUGCCUCAGCCUCCGAAGUAGCUGGGAUUACAGGCAUGCACCACCACACCUGGCUAAGUUUUGUAUUUUUAGUAGAGACGGGGUUUCUCCAUGUUGGUCAGGCUGGUCUCGAACUCCUGACCUCUUGAUCCACUCGCCUCCGCCUCCCAAAGUGUUGGGAUUACAAGCGUGAGCCACCGCACCCAGCCAAAAAUUUCUUAAAAUCAUCUAGUAUCCAGCUUUCAAAUUUCUUAGUCUCAUAUACAUUUUUUUAUAUUUAGUUUGCACAAAAGAAAAUCAAAAUAAAGCCUUUUACAUCUUUUAAAUCUACAACUGUCUCCCCCUUCCCUUCGUUUUUUACUUGAUAUUUACUCACU